UACGUAGGGUGCAAGCGUUAAUCGGAAUUACUGGGCGUAAAGGGCGCGUAGGCGGCCUGCUAAGUCGAACGUGAAAUCCCCGGGCUCAACCCGGGAACUGCGUCCGAUACUGGGAGGCUUGAAUCCGGGAGAGGGAUGUGGAAUUCCAGGUGUAGCGGUGAAAUGCGUAGAUAUCUGGAGGAACACCGGUGGCGAAGGCGGCAUCCUGGACCGGUAUUGACGCUGAGGCGCGAAAGCUAGGGGAGCAAACGGG
rnacentral:rRNA from 1 species